GAUGAACGCUGGCGGCGUGCCUAAUACAUGCAAGUAGAACGCUGAAGGAGGAGCUUGCUCUUCUGGAUGAGUUGCGAACGGGUGAGUAACGCGUAGGUAACCUGCCUGGUAGCGGGGGAUAACUAUUGGAAACGAUAGCUAAUACCGCAUGACAACAGUUAUUGCAUGAUAACUGUUUAAAAGGGGCAACUGCUCCACUACCAGAUGGACCUGCGUUGUAUUAGCUAGUUGGUGAGGUAACGGCUCACCAAGGCGACGAUACAUAGCCGACCUGAGAGGGUGAUCGGCCACACUGGGACUGAGACACGGCCCAGACGCCUACGGGAGGCAGCAGUAGGGAAUCGUCGGCAAGGGACGGAAGUCUGACCGAGCAACGCCGCGGGAGUGAAGAAGGAUUUCGGAUCGUAAAGCUCGGUUGUAAGAGAAGAACGAGUGUGAGAGUGGAAAGUUCACACUGUGACGGUAACUUACCAGAAAGGGACGGCUAACUACGUG
rnacentral:rRNA from 1 species